rnacentral:rRNA from 1 species
UACGUAGGGUGCGAGCGUUAAUCGGAAUUACUGGGCGUAAAGCGUGCGCAGGCGGUUUUGUAAGACAGAGGUGAAAUCCCCGGGCUCAACCUGGGAACUGCCUUUGUGACUGCAAGGCUUGAGUGCGGCAGAGGGGGAUGGAAUUCCGCGUGUAGCAGUGAAAUGCGUAGAGAUGCGGAGGAACACCGAUGGCGAAGGCAGCCCCCUGGGCUAGCACUGACGCUCAGGCACGAAAGCGUGGGGAGCAAACAGG